ACCCAGAAUCAUCUCAAUUUGCAGAAAUCCAGAAAACAGUUAUGAUGCAUCAUCUUAAGGAGAACGUGAGAGAUUCAUGUUACGUCUGAUCGGGAUGAAACUUUGUGGGUGCAUUCAAGAUACUACUGGCUAGAUAAUCAACGGUGGGAUUACAUUUCUAACGGUUAGUUAUUGACUUAUGCGUAUGUAUCCGAGACAGUUUUGUAUAGAAUAAAUCAUGACGAGUUUUAUUCUUUGAUUGAAAAAACAAGCUUGGUUUGAGCUGAAGCCUUGCAGGAGCUUCCAUGACUCAUGGAUUCAGGUCUUGGUUGAUGGAGAACCAAGGUGGAGCUUAAGAGCAUGUGGUUGUAGUCAAGAUAUUAAAUUGGUCUAAAAGAGAAAAAAAGGAAAAGUGAGUUAUUGUCGUCAAGAAAAAAAAGGUGAGGGUGGUAUUUGCGAAACAUUAUAUCAUUUUAUUUUAUUAUACUUCUUAAUUCAUGGUAUGAUUGUGUAGGAUAAAAUUAUGUGAUGAUAUGAUUUGAUGAUUAUUGAUAGAUAUGUAUGAAUAUGAUGUUUGACUAUGGAAUGUUAUGUAUGAGAAAGUUAAGUAUAAUGAUGUAUAUGUAUGUUUGACUGGGGAGAACCGAACAAUGGACCGUGGUCUCUCAAGUAAUGAUGGAGAGUGAUGGACAGACGGGUAAACAACUGGUCAAGAACUGCUGACGAGCCGGAAUAGGAGUGUCUGAGCCACGAGGGCCAGCCUCCACUAAGGAGGUUAUAGUCAUCACGAGGAUGACUGGAGCUAACGAUGUAUGUAUGUGUUAGUAUGG
rnacentral:lncRNA from 1 species